rnacentral:lncRNA from 1 species
UAAUAUUAAAAGAUAUAUAUAUAUAAAAUGUAUACAUAAUAUAAUAUUAAAAUAUUUACAUGGUAUAUACAUAAUAAUGUAAAAAAUAAACUAUUAGUAAUAUUAUAAAUAUAUACAUAUAGUAGUAAUAAUAAUAUAAAGGUAUUUCAUAUAAACAGGUAUGCACGUGAAAAAAAAGAAAAGAGAAAAAUAAUAAUUACAA